rnacentral:rRNA from 1 species
UGGGGAAUAUUGCACAAUGGGCGAAAGCCUGAUGCAGCAACGCCGCGUGAGUGAUGAAGGCCUUCGGGUUGUAAAGCUCUGUCUUUUGGGACGAUAAUGACGGUACCAAAGGAGGAAGCCACGGCUAACUACGUGCCAGCAGCCGCGGUAAUACGUAGGUGGCAAGCGUUGUCCGGAUUUACUGGGCGUAAAGGAUGCGUAGGCGGAUUUUUAAGUGAGAUGUGAAAUACCCGGGCUUAACUUGGGUGCUGCAUUUCAAACUGGGAAUCUAGAGUGCGGGAGAGGAGAAUGGAAUUCCUAGUGUAGCGGUGAAAUGCGUAGAGAUUAGGAAGAACACCAGUGGCGAAGGCGA